rnacentral:rRNA from 1 species
CCUACGGGUGGCAGCAGUGAGGAAUAUUGGACAAUGGACGAAAGUCUGAACCAGCCACGUAGCGUGAAGGAUGACUGCCCUAUGGGUUGUAAACUUCUUUUAUAUGGGAAUAAAACGUUCCACGUGUGGGAUUUUGUAUGUACCAUAUGAAUAAGGAUCGGCUAACUCCGUGCCAGAAGCCGCGGUAAUACGGAGGAUCCGAGCGUUAUCCGGAUUUAUAGGGUUUAAAGGGAGCGGAGUUGGAUUGUUAAGUCAGUUGUGAAAGUUUGCGGCUCAACCGUACAAUUGCAGUUGAAACUGGCAGUCUUGAGUACAGUAGAGGUAGGCGGAAUUCGUGGUGUAGCGGUGAAAUGCUUAGAUAUCACGAAGAACUCCGAUUGCGAAGGCAGUUCACUGGACUGUAACUGACACUGAGGCUCGAAAGUGUGGGGAUCAAACAGGAUUAGAUACCCGAGUAGUC